rnacentral:lncRNA from 1 species
AAGUUCAUGAUUAUCAUUUCAUUCUUGAUCGAAUGGAAAUCAAUAUAUGGUUAUCUUACAUUUCAACCUCCUUUUUUGUUAUCCCAAAAUAAAUCUUCGGCAACUGUGAUUUCUUUGAUUAGAUACGAGAAAAUGGGUAAGCGUAAUGGAAAUCAGUAUUCUCUUUCAUAUUUAUCAUUAUAUUUUUUUAAUCAAUAAUUGCUUUUAUUUUUAGGAUUAUUAUCCAUUUUAUUUGUCCUUGUAGUGUUUAUCUUGAUGACAUGGUUUACAUAUCACUAGUAAUGUUUUAUAUUUUUAUCUACAUGAUAUAUAAUUUUUGUAAUGUAUUUCAUCUAUUUUGUUAAUUAUAUUAUAAAGGAUUAAUUCAUCGAGAGCGAUUCUCUAUUUUAUUUAUAUAUGUACAAAUAAAAAAUGUUAAGAAAAAAAAUGUCAAGAAAACUUCUGAAAAAAAUUAUCAAUGUAUUUUCCUCUUUUCCCUUUUUAUGUUGUACUUUUUUUUUUUUUUNNAUGUGCUUGUUUUGAUGGAAGGUGAGAGUUGUGUGCUCAAGUUGAAGAACCCUUUUCACUGUGGGUUGUUGGUAUGUCCUUUCUCUCUUUUGCGCUCUAUCUGAAUUCUUUUAUUAGCUUUAUUGUCUUAUUUUUCAAUCAAAUUAAAUAUACUUUAUAUUGGCUUUUGGUUUGGAGGCCUUAUUUCUCAUCAACUUCAUCAUCAUCCUCGUUUGGUGGCAACUCAUUCAAUUCUAGUCAAAAGCACUCUUUCUUCUAUCCUCUUCAUUUUUGGUUGGGGCACGUGCUUUUNNNNNNNNNNNNNNNNNNNNNNNNCACUCCUACCGCCGCCACCAGCUAAGGACUCCGCUGGCACUCAAAUAAAACUAUUGAGAUCAAUGACAACAUAGACAGGAGAUUCAUUGUAAUUUUAGUUACUAUUAUUUUCGUACUCGUUCUCUGUUAUGUUAGAAUAAAUAUUCAAUGAUUGUGAUUUCUUUGAUUAAAUGUGAU